rnacentral:misc_RNA from 1 species
GAUGAAGAACGUAGCGAAAUGCGAUAAGUAAUGUGAAUUGCAGAAUUCAGUGAAUCAUCGAAUCUUUGAACGCACAUUGCGCCCAUUAGUAUUCUAGUGGGCAUGCCUGUUCGAGCGUCAUUUCAACCCUUAAGCCUAGCUUAGUAUUGGGAAUCGACUUUACUGUCGUUCCUCAAAUUCAACGGCGGAUUUAUAGCAAUCUCUGAACGUAGUAAUUUUUUUUCUCGUUUUUGAAAUACUAUAAACCUCAGCCGCUAAACCCCCAAUUUCUUAUGGUUGACCUCGUAUCAGGUAGGAAUACCCGCUGAACUUAAGCAUAUCAAUAAGCGGAGGA